UCGUAACAAGGUUUCCGUAGGUGAACCUGCGGAAGGAUCAUUACCGAGUGAGGGCCCUCUGGGUCCAACCUCCCACCCGUGUUUAUUUUACCUUGUUGCUUCGGCGGGCCCGCCUUAACUGGCCGCCGGGGGGCUUACGCCCCCGGGCCCGCGCCCGCCGAAGACACCCUCGAACUCUGUCUGAAGAUUGUAGUCUGAGUGAAAAUAUAAAUUAUUUAAAACUUUCAACAACGGAUCUCUUGGUUCCGGCAUCGAUGAAGAACGCAGCGAAAUGCGAUACGUAAUGUGAAUUGCAAAUUCAGUGAAUCAUCGAGUCUUUGAACGCACAUUGCGCCCCCUGGUAUUCCGGGGGGCAUGCCUGUCCGAGCGUCAUUGCUGCCCUCAAGCACGGCUUGUGUGUUGGGCCCCGUCCUCCGAUCCCGGGGGACGGGCCCGAAAGGCAGCGGCGGCACCGCGUCCGGUCCUCGAGCGUAUGGGGCUUUGUCACCCGCUCUGUAGGCCCGGCCGGCGCUUGCCGAUCAACCCAAAUUUUUAUCCAGGUUGACCUCGGAUCAGGUAGGGAUACCCGCUGAACCUAAGCAUAUCA
rnacentral:misc_RNA from 1 species